rnacentral:rRNA from 1 species
AGUCUGGUGCCAGCAGCUGCGGUAAUACCAGCUCCAAUAGCGUAUAUUAAAGUUGUUGCAGUUAAAAAGCUCGUAGUUGGACUUGUGUGCGCUGUCCGCGGGUGGCCUGCGCCCAAAAGGGCGUUUCGGUUCGGCCCCGGUGGCGCCUUGAAAUCUGCAGCUGGGGGGACGUUGGCCUUAACUGGUCGGCGACCGCACGCCGGCUGCUCGGUUACUGUGAGAAAAUUAGAGUGUUCAAGGCAGGCAUUGGGUGCAAUUGAAUACAUUAGCAUGGAAUAAUAAAAUAUGGCUCCUGCCGUAUUUUGUUGGUUUUGACUGGUGGGAGUAAUGAUUGAUAGGGACGGUUGGGGGUGCUAGUAUUGAGCGGCCAGAGGUGAAAUUCAUGGAUUCGCUCAAGACUAACUUAUGCGAAAGCAUUCACCAAGGACGUCCUCUUUAAUCAAGAACGAAAGUUGGGGGAUCGAAGACGAUCAGAUACCGUCGUAGUCUCAACCAUAAACUAUGUCGACUUGGGAUCGGCGGUAGUUUUUUCAUUAAGACACUGUCGGGACCACGGGAGAAAUCAAAGUGUCUGGACUCUGGGGGAAGUAUGGUCGCAAGGCUGAAACUUGAAGGAAUUGACGGAAGGGCACCACCAGGAGUGGAGCCUGCGGCUUAAUUUGACACAACACGGGGAAACUUACCAGGUCCAGAGAUGUAGAGGAUUGACAGAUUGAGGCUCUUUCUUGAUCACUUCGGUGGUGGUGCAUGGCCGUUCUUAGUUGGUGGAGUGAUUUGUCUGGUUAACUCCGUUAACGAACGAGACCUCAGCCUGCUAGUGUAGUCGGCUGGAUUGCCUUUGGCGAUCCGUGAUUUCGACUUCUUAGAGGGACAAUCGACGCGCAGUCGAUGGAAGUUUGAGGCAAUAACAGGUCUGUGAUGCCCUUAGAUGUUCUGGGCCGCACGCGCGCUACACUGCUGGGCUCAGCGAGUUUUACUUGGCCGAGAGGCCCGGUUAAUCUUGUGAAAUCCCAGCGUGCUUGGGCUCGCCUCCUGCAACUGGAGGCGCCAACGAGGAAUUCCUAGUAGACGCAGGUCAUCAACCUGCAUCGAUUACGUCCCUGCCCUUUGUACACACCGCCCGUCGUUCCAUAAGAGUGAGGCAUCCGGUGAAUUCUCGGGAGAGCCUGGGCGUGGCCAGCAAUGGUCUGCU